AAUCCUGAUGGCAUCUUAGUGAGAAGGAAUCAGUUGGACCAGUCUCUGGCACUUUUCUUUUCCUCAGAAGGCAUGGACAAAUGGAUGGAGGCCUGGUGUGACUUCUCUACUCUUGGCUCUAUUCCACUCACCAAUUAAUCACCUUACCCUAGCCUGACAAGCCAAGCCCUUUGCUGCUGUUCAUCCUCUGGCUGUUCCUGCGAUUGCUCUAAAGGCUCCCCCAGAUGCAAGAACCCAUCAGUUUCAGCAGCCGUUUGGGAAUGUUCAGUGCCUUUGCCACAUGGUAAAACCAAGAAUAUUUUGAGCGGAUGGUUCUGGAAUGAUUUCAAAGCUCUUGCUGAUGUAGACAUGUGCUGUCUUCUCCUCCAGCUGCCCAGGAUUAUGAACAGUGGGGGUUACAUCACCAUGUGCCACUGUGUGCUUGCUGGCUAUGGCCGCCUCUGAGCAACGAAGGCAGAGGUAAAUCAUUGCAAAAGCGACUGUCCACCCUACAGAGCUGAAGCUGUUUUCUGUCUGUUCCUUCUGGAGAAAAGCUUUCCAAACCCUGGCUUACAUGAAGGAAAUGUGGGUCAGAGAUGCCCUGAGAAGAAUAGCAGACCCAAAGUUUCGAAGGUGGACCACUGAGUUUCUGUAGGAGACCAGAAAAGCAGGGGAAACAGCCUUUAUGCAGCACAGUGACUGGGCACGUCCACCUGCUCCUGAACAGGUCACUCCUUACAAAGCCACGAGAACUCAAAAAUCCAGCUAUCUCAGGCCACUUCACAAGCACUUACUAUUUGCUAUGACAUUACUCCCUGGGGGGACAAUAAGAAAGUAUGGUCGCUUCAAGAUGUGAAGAUUCCGAUAGUUUAAAAGGUGUAGCCUGGGUCAAGAUGACUAUGUUUGUGCUACUGUGUACAGCAAAAGAAAGGAAGAAAAAAGAAGAAGAAGGAAAGAAAAAGGAUGCACUAAAAGGAAACCAGCGCUUAAUUCACAACCUGUCUGUGAAGACGGAUGGACUCACAUGAGCUACAGCCUAGGGUCAGGGCCAGGGCCAAGGACCAUGGCUCUGUGAGCUGCCUUUCUUUAGUGAAAAUGCUGGACUUCUGAACUUACCCACCAAUGUCUUCAUGGAAGGCAGAGCACCUAAGGAGGCAGAGACAGGGAAAUCACAAGUGUAUGGCCUGUCUGGGCUCCACAAUGAGAAAGAGCUCUUAGUGGCCAGGAUUUACAAGAAAGCCACCCCAAGUGUACUCUGCAGCAGUGUGCCAAUGGCAUUGAUGCAGAAGGAGGCCUGCUAUUUGACAGCCUUGAGCCAAACCCCAUUCCCCGGAGGGCAGGAGCCCUGUGUGUCUUGAAGGCCCCACAGAGGUUCCUUCAUCCCCUAAGAGGACUCCACCCCUCCUCCGCAAUCCUGUCCAGGCUUCAGUGGCCACCCGUAAUGGGAGAAAGUUCAUCAUCGCCUCCAACAGAAACCUUCCCUGCUGGGGCUCUUCUCAGUGGCUCUCCAGAGACCCAGUAGGCUCAGGAGCUGCUGCCUGCCUUCCUUCACGACGGUAAACUUGACGGCAUCGGUGUGGGCAUUACAAGUAGAAGGCAGAACUGAGUUGAGCAGAAACCGACCACGUGACCUUGGACAUGUUGCUUGCUGUCUCCUACCUGGGUUCUUCAUUUGCAAAACGGGCAAAACAGUACCUCAAGGGAAAGCAUACAUCCAUAUAAAACUGCACGGGAAGAACUGUAGCAACAUUAUCCACAACAGCCCCCCAGGGGACAGUCGCAUAUCUAUCAAGUGAUUAAUGGUGGUCUCUCUCCCCCUCCCUCCUUUCUGCCCUUCUUUUGUCCCCCACCACCUUUCUCUGUCCUCAUGGCUCUGCCUGACUACAUCUCUACUCAUUGGCAUCAACGCCUUCUCCAGGCCCUCACUCCCCUCCUUUCCCCCAAAUAAACCCCUUUAUACCUGGUCUGUUGCAUGGCAUGACUACUUGGGGGCAUACUUUGGCAUAGGUCUGACAGGUACCCCCUUGCCACAUUAUCGUUCAUAACAGAAGUAGCCUUAUUGGAUAUUUGGCAAAUUUGAGACAGCCUGGACUUCAAGUACCCUGUCUAUAAAUAACUAAAAAAAUAAGUAAAUGCAUAAAUAGCCUUAUAGUAUCUAUAUUGCAAGUACUGUUAAAAUUAACUGAUUUAUUAAUUCUUUGAGUUAUUUAGUACAACUCUGGUAAGCAACUAAUAAAUAUUACAUUCAACAAC
ensembl:lincRNA 4930511E03Rik RIKEN cDNA 4930511E03 gene